rnacentral:snRNA from 1 species
GAAUGUGAGGGUUAUCUGGCUACACCAUCUCUUCAGCCCGUUGAUUUCCAGGGUUACUUUGGCUGAUCUGGCUGCCUAGGAGGGCACCCCUUUCUCCUUCACCACUCCAUGUGUGUCCCUAUCAAAGCUGCAUGCUCAGUAGAACACGAUCUUCCCAGAUAGAGGAAGACUGUUCUUCAGUCAGGAGUGUAUGCGGAAGCUGGGGUCCCCUGCUCAAAGCUCCACACAAGCUCUCAAGGUCAUGUGUUGGAGAACACAGGAUAAUAAAACUUCCAAGACGCCAGACACAUCCAAAUGACGUGCUUUCUGAGGCAAUAUGGCUUUCU